GGUCUCAUAGUUCAACGGAUAGAAUACCUGCCUGCCGGCAGGCAGGGGAGUUUCCUAAACUCUAGAUCCAGGGUCCCUGCCUGGCGGCAGGCAGGCUUGUCGGCCGAAGCCUCGGCGAAGGCAGAGAUUCCUGGUGAGACCACCA
rnacentral:tRNA from 1 species